GAUGAAGAACGCAGCGAAAUGCGAUAAGUAAUGUGAAUUGCAGAAUUCAGUGAAUCAUCGAAUCUUUGAACGCACAUUGCGCCCGCUAGUAUUCUGGCGGGCAUGCCUGUCCGAGCGUCAUUUCAACCCUCGCGCCCAUCUGGGCUGCGGUGUUGGGGACCGGCCUGCCCCCCCGGGGCGCGCCGCCCCCCAAAUUCAGUGGCGGUCUCGCUGCAGCCUCCCUUGCGUAGUAGCACACCUCGCACCGGAGCGCAGCGCGGCCACGCCGUAAAACCCCCGACCCCCAUGAGUUUGACCUCGGAUCAGGUAGGAAUACCCGCUGAACUUAAGCAUAUCAAUAAGCGGAGGA
rnacentral:misc_RNA from 1 species